rnacentral:snRNA from 1 species
CACGGACCAAGGAGUCUGA